GUGCUCGCCUCAGCAGCACAGGCUGGAGCUGGACAGCACAAAGAAGAUCAGCAUGGCCCCUGUGCAAGGAUGACGUGCAACUCCAUGAAGCAUUCCACAUUUAA